rnacentral:tRNA from 1 species
GAGGAUUUAGCUUAAGUUAAAGUGUUUGGUUUGCGUCCAAUUGAUGUAAGAGUACAGUCUUGCAGUCCUUA